AUUGAACGCUGGCGGCAGGCCUAACACAUGCAAGUCGAACGAGUGGCGGACGGGUGAGUAAUGUCUGGGAACCUGCCUGACGGAGGGGGAUAACUACUGGAAACGGUAGCUAAUACCGCAUACCAUCAGAUGUGCCCAGAUGGGAGUAGCUCGUUGGUGGGGUAACGGCUCACCUAGGCGACGAGCCCUAGCUGGUCUGAGAGGAUGACCAGCCACACUGGAACCGAGCCACGGUCCAGACUCCUACGUGAGGCAGCAGUGGGGAAUAUUGCACAAUGGGCGCAAGCCUGAUGCAGCCAUGACGCGUGCAUGAAGAAGGCCUGCGGGUUGUAAAGUACUUUCAGCGGGGAGGCGUUACCCGCAGAAGAAGAACCGGCUAACUCCGUGCCAGCAGCCUCGGUAAUUC
rnacentral:rRNA from 1 species